ACCAUUUAUCCAGGAAUUGCUGCUGGCAACUGUUUUCAUUUUCUUUCUUUCAUAUUACUUCGUUUGGGAGAGUUUGAAUUCUAACAGUUUCCUGGCCUCUGAUUAAAAAAGGAGCAGACUGUUGGUUUUGUAAAUAGGAUUCCAGUAUAGUUUAAGUAUAUAAAGUAUAGAACAGAACAUAACAAGGAAUAGUAAAACUAUUUCUCUUUGAAUAUUUGUUGUUCUCAUAUAUUUUCUUCUUCUUAAAACUUAUCCAAUUAUAAUAAGAGAAUACAAACCAUCAUACAUGAAUUAAAAUAGAUACAUCUCUUCAGAUCAAUGAAUCACAUUAAUGUAUUCUCACAUAUUGAAUGCAGCCUUCUAGAAUAUUACUGGAAACUAAAGAGUUUAGUUUAUUUAACACAGACUGAGAGGACUUUCAGAUGGGGGUAAACGAGAAUGGUUCCUCUUAAUUCUCUGGAGACCCUCCCCUUGAAAACAUAGAUUAAUCCUCUUCUUUGUACCCUUCCCAGUCUAGGAUCUCGUUGCAUGCAGUAGGUUUGUUUAACUGAACCUAUGUUCUAUGUUCAGUUGCUUGUUACUGGGUUGAGGCUUGCUGCUUAUGUUCUACCCUUCCUCUUGUUGGAGGUUUGGGUUAUUAAUAAAUUUGUGCUUACCCUUUCUCUUCUCUGUCCAGAAUCUUAGCACAAGGAGCCUUCCUGGAGACAUUCAUGACCUACUUACCGUAACAACGAAGAUCAUAUUUCUAUAGCCAAUAAAAUGUGCCUCCGAAUCCGGGGUCAACAACCUACUGGACGUGCUAAUAAUUUCAAAAAAAAAAGGCCAAUUCUAACCGAUCAUCAAUUCUUUUCUUUUGUCGAUGAUCGACCUGAUACGCCCCUUUCUCCUGUGGAGACCGAGCUGUCUGCACCAGACGCAGCUUCACAUUUCGAUUUGCACUUUUUUGACUUUUUACUCACAAGUUGUUUUACUCCUACUGCAAUAGUUGUGGCCGUCAUAACAAGGAGUAACAUGUAUACCUUCUCGGAUCAGGUAAGGCUCUGGUCACCCUGCUACGACCAACGUCUACAGCGGGCACAGGGAGUUAAUUUACAACCCAAGUGCUGCCUAAUCUGUUGAUACUCCAGAUGGUCAAGAUAAAGAGAUUAAUGAUUUACUAGUGUCUCGGGUAAAGACAGCCACAGGGCGGGAAAUUCAUUCCUUGCAAAGUUGGCGAUAGCCCUAGGUAUAGCUGCAACGAUUACCCUACUAUCAAUCUACCUCAAGCAGCCUCGUCAAGGACCUUCUCUUGGAAUUCAAUAUCUCGUUAAGGAUUCAUCAUCUUCCAGUACUUUAGAUGCAAACAAUGUUUUUACAUUCAAAGCUUUCGGAUACAGAGUUAUGCUUCCACAAUCUGCUCUAGGGUAUGGUAUUUGCUACAUGACAUUAGUUUUUUUCAA